ACUUUUCUGAUCUCACGGCCGGCAGCCUGGAUCCCCUCACCAGGUGCCCUGGGCUGCGGGAACUCACCCUGUCCGGCGGCGUCCCUGACACAGGGAGCCUGGAGCCCCUCACCAGGUGCCCUAGGCUGCGGGAUCUCACCCUGUCCGGCGGCGUCCCUGACGCCGUGAGCCUGGAGCCCCUCACCAGGUGCCCUGGGCUGGAGCGUCUCACCCUGUCCGGCGGCGUCCCUGACGCCGUGCUGGACAGUCUCAGCGGCUGGCCCGGGCUGCAGGACCUUACACUGGGGGACCUCCAGCGGCCGGCAGAGACGGCCUUCACGGCAGCAGCGUACACCAGACUGGUCAAGUCGUGUCGGGAGCUGUGGUCGCUGUACCUUCACUGCACGGCAGACACCGGCCGGGCCGUGCUGACCGCCCUGAAGGAGGCGGACCUGGGCCGGGACAGUGAUGGCGAGCCCCGUACCAUCAAUCUCAUUGUCCCCGGGGAGCUGUACGAUCAGCUGAAGAGCCAGGGAGGCGGUCGGGUCACAGUGUGGAAGUGGUAGUAUUGAUACGCUGCACUACCGACCGUGCAGUGAUGAGCUGACUGCAGAGAGGCCGAGCCAGUCGGCCGGGGCCGCCAGCUGACUGCUGCCGUGUGUGCUGCACCAGCCGGCACUGAGAGCGGCGCCGGUCAGCCGGCACACG